GACUCGACACCUCCACCAAGUUGUGGGCGGGUCCGUUCUUGGCACAAAAGAGGCUCCUUUGCUGAACUAUGGCUGCUGCGGCGAGGCUAUUUCUGGGCUCGCUUUCUCUUCCUGGUGAUGAAAACAAGCACGUCCACCCAGUAAAUAAAGGCGAAGCCAAUGAAAGCAGCUGUAUUUCAAGGAGAGCCGGGGGACAAGCCAGAGAAUAAAUGAACAGAUCCAGUGACAAAAUGUCCAUUCAUUGGCUUCGCCCGGCAAACAUUUACUGAAGGCAUCUGUGCACCCGGCACUCUACUGAAUGCUGGAGAGACACAAAGAUGCCCUUGAGAACGGUGACCACCGCCUCUCCUCCACUGGAAUGGGAUGAAUAUUAACCAAACACAGCACCUAAAAGAACGGGGGAUAUGUGGGAUGUUUGAAUCAUCUGUGAAACAUGAAUGAAUUCCACAAGUGAUGUUCAGCAUCUGCUCAAAGGGUCUUAUUUGUAAUACCAGUCCAAAACAAUCGACAAUCAAUCUCACUGAUUCUAAUGAUAAUUGUAUGUAGUUUUAUCCAGAAACCCACUCUUUGAUAGGCAAGUAGCAGGGCAGUCGUCAAUCCAACAAUUAUUGAUGUCCCACUGUGUGGGGAGGCCACCAGGGAGCACAACAGAAUGAGGUAGACAAAGAUAUUUUUAGAGAAAGAAAAAGAGAAGCAAAUAACUACAGUACAGCUCAGCAAAGGCUAGACAUGAGCAGAGUGACUUAGGCUCUUGGAGUGAGCACAGCGAAGUAUGAGGGCUUCCUGAAAGCAGCUAAGUCAAAGCCCAGGGUGUGGGUGAGUCAAAAGAAUAGAAUAGGGAGCAAAAGCAUCCAAGAAGCCAAUCUGGGGGAUGCAGGGGGAUCAGAAGGUAGAGGCAUCACUAAGCCAAAGUUAGGGACGCAGAAUGGAGUGGAGAGAAGCCUUUAUAGAAGCCAGGAAAACCGCAAUGGAAGGGGGUGUGGGAGGGCAGAACUUAACUCAGUAAAAUGUUCUCACUUGACUGACCUCUAGAAAACCUGUCGGCUGAGUGUCUGGGGCUCCCACUCAGUCAGGCCACCUUAUCUUAGGAAGGAAGGAGAUUCUGGCACCUGCUACUACAUGGAAGAACCUUGAGCUCAUUAUACAACCUGAAGUAAGCCACACAGAAAGGGAUAACUGCUGGGGCGUGUAUCUCAAUGGUAAGAGUGCUUGCUUGAUCCUCA
rnacentral:lncRNA from 1 species